ACUAAGCGUACACGGUGGAUGCCUUGGCAGUCAGAGGCGAUGAAGGACGUGCUAAUCUGCGAUAAGCGUCGGUAAGGUGAUAUGAACCGUUAUAACCGGCGAUUUCCGAAUGGGGAAACCCAGUGUGAUUCGUCACACUAUCAUUAACUGAAUCCAUAGGUUAAUGAGGCGAACCGGGGGAACUGAAACAUCUAAGUACCCCGAGGAAAAGAAAUCAACCGAGAUUCCCCCAGUAGCGGCGAGCGAACGGGGAGCAGCCCAGAGCCUGAAUCAGUAUGUGUGUUAGUGGAAGCGUCUGGAAAGGCGCGCGAUACAGGGUGACAGCCCCGUACACAAAAAUGCACAUGCUGUGAGCUCGAUGAGUAGGGCGGGACACGUGGUAUCCUGUCUGAAUAUGGGGGGACCAUCCUCCAAGGCUAAAUACUCCUGACUGACCGAUAGUGAACCAGUACCGUGAGGGAAAGGCGAAAAGAACCCCGGCGAGGGGAGUGAAAAAGAACCUGAAACCGUGUACGUACAAGCAGUGGGAGCACGCUUAGGCGUGUGACUGCGUACCUUUUGUAUAAUGGGUCAGCGACUUAUAUUCUGUAGCAAGGUUAACCGAAUAGGGGAGCCGAAGGGAAACCGAGUCUUAACUGGGCGUUAAGUUGCAGGGUAUAGACCCGAAACCCGGUGAUCUAGCCAUGGGCAGGUUGAAGGUUGGGUAACACUAACUGGAGGACCGAACCGACUAAUGUUGAAAAAUUAGCGGAUGACUUGUGGCUGGGGGUGAAAGGCCAAUCAAACCGGGAGAUAGCUGGUUCUCCCCGAAAGCUAUUUAGGUAGCGCCUCGUGAAUUCAUCUCCGGGGGUAGAGCACUGUUUCGGCAAGGGGGUCAUCCCGACUUACCAACCCGAUGCAAACUGCGAAUACCGGAGAAUGUUAUCACGGGAGACACACGGCGGGUGCUAACGUCCGUCGUGAAGAGGGAAACAACCCAGACCGCCAGCUAAGGUCCCAAAGUCAUGGUUAAGUGGGAAACGAUGUGGGAAGGCCCAGACAGCCAGGAUGUUGGCUUAGAAGCAGCCAUCAUUUAAAGAAAGCGUAAUAGCUCACUGGUCGAGUCGGCCUGCGCGGAAGAUGUAACGGGGCUAAACCAUGCACCGAAGCUGCGGCAGCGACGCUGAUGCGUUGUUGGGUAGGGGAGCGUUCUGUAAGCCUGUGAAGGUGUGCUGUGAGGCAUGCUGGAGGUAUCAGAAGUGCGAAUGCUGACAUAAGUAACGAUAAAGCGGGUGAAAAGCCCGCUCGCCGGAAGACCAAGGGUUCCUGUCCAACGUUAAUCGGGGCAGGGUGAGUCGACCCCUAAGGCGAGGCCGAAAGGCGUAGUCGAUGGGAAACAGGUUAAUAUUCCUGUACUUGGUGUUACUGCGAAGGGGGGACGGAGAAGGCUAUGUUGGCCGGGCGACGGUUGUCCCGGUUUAAGCGUGUAGGCUGGUUUUCCAGGCAAAUCCGGAAAACUAAGGCUGAGGCGUGAUGACGAGGCACUACGGUGCUGAAGCAACAAAUGCCCUGCUUCCAGGAAAAGCCUCUAAGCAUCAGGUAACAUCAAAUCGUACCCCAAACCGACACAGGUGGUCAGGUAGAGAAUACCAAGGCGCUUGAGAGAACUCGGGUGAAGGAACUAGGCAAAAUGGUGCCGUAACUUCGGGAGAAGGCACGCUGAUAUGUAGGUGAAGUCCCUCGCGGAUGGAGCUGAAAUCAGUCGAAGAUACCAGCUGGCUGCAACUGUUUAUUAAAAACACAGCACUGUGCAAACACGAAAGUGGACGUAUACGGUGUGACGCCUGCCCGGUGCCGGAAGGUUAAUUGAUGGGGUCAGCGCAAGCGAAGCUCUUGAUCGAAGCCCCGGUAAACGGCGGCCGUAACUAUAACGGUCCUAAGGUAGCGAAAUUCCUUGUCGGGUAAGUUCCGACCUGCACGAAUGGCGUAAUGAUGGCCAGGCUGUCUCCACCCGAGACUCAGUGAAAUUGAACUCGCUGUGAAGAUGCAGUGUACCCGCGGCAAGACGGAAAGACCCCGUGAACCUUUACUAUAGCUUGACACUGAACAUUGAGCCUUGAUGUGUAGGAUAGGUGGGAGGCUUUGAAGUGUGGACGCCAGUCUGCAUGGAGCCGACCUUGAAAUACCACCCUUUAAUGUUUGAUGUUCUAACGUUGACCCGUAAUCCGGGUUGCGGACAGUGUCUGGUGGGUAGUUUGACUGGGGCGGUCUCCUCCUAAAGAGUAACGGAGGAGCACGAAGGUUGGCUAAUCCUGGUCGGACAUCAGGAGGUUAGUGCAAUGGCAUAAGCCAGCUUGACUGCGAGCGUGACGGCGCGAGCAGGUGCGAAAGCAGGUCAUAGUGAUCCGGUGGUUCUGAAUGGAAGGGCCAUCGCUCAACGGAUAAAAGGUACUCCGGGGAUAACAGGCUGAUACCGCCCAAGAGUUCAUAUCGACGGCGGUGUUUGGCACCUCGAUGUCGGCUCAUCACAUCCUGGGGCUGAAGUAGGUCCCAAGGGUAUGGCUGUUCGCCAUUUAAAGUGGUACGCGAGCUGGGUUUAGAACGUCGUGAGACAGUUCGGUCCCUAUCUGCCGUGGGCGCUGGAGAACUGAGGGGGGCUGCUCCUAGUACGAGAGGACCGGAGUGGACGCAUCACUGGUGUUCGGGUUGUCAUGCCAAUGGCACUGCCCGGUAGCUAAAUGCGGAAGAGAUAAGUGCUGAAAGCAUCUAAGCACGAAACUUGCCCCGAGAUGAGUUCUCCCUGACUCCUUGAGAGUCCUGAAGGAACGUUGAAGACGACGACGUUGAUAGGCCGGGUGUGUAAGCGCAGCGAUGCGUUGAGCUAACCGGUACUAAUGAACCGUGAGGCUUAACC
rnacentral:rRNA from 1 species